rnacentral:rRNA from 1 species
AUUGAACGCUGGCGGCAGGCUUAACACAUGCAAGUCGAGCGGGCGAGGUUGCUUCGGUAACUGAGCUAGCGGCGGACGGGUGAGUAAUGCUUAGGAAUCUGCCUAUUAGUGGGGGACAACAUUCCGAAAGGAAUGCUAAUACCGCAUACGCCCUACGGGUGAAAGCAGGGGAUCUUCGGCACUUGCGCUAAUAGAUGAGCCUAAGUCAGAUUAGCUAGUUGGUGGGGUAAAGGCCUACCAAGGCGACGAUCUGUAGCGGGUCUGAGAGGAUGAUCCGCCACACUGGGACUGAGACACGGCCCAGACUCCUACGGGAGGCAGCAGUGGGGAAUAUUGGACAAUGGGCGCAAGCCUGAUCCAGCCAUGCCGCGUGUGUGAAGAAGGCCUUUUGGUUGUAAAGCACUUUAAGCGAGGAGGAGGCUACUUGGAUUAAUACUCUAGGAUAGUGGACGUUACUCGCAGAAUAAGCACCGGCUAACUCUGUGCCAGCAGCCGCCGUAAAAC